rnacentral:misc_RNA from 1 species
AAGUCGUAACAAGGUAACCGUAGGUGAACCUGCGGUUGGAUCAUUGACAAAUCUUAGAAGGGUCGUCCAAAAGACGGCCUUUUCUUAACAUUGUGUGAACCGUUUAUGUCUCUGGUGGGUUAAAAUAGUAGUUCGCUACUAGGCCCCAGGUCACCCACCCAUAACCUGAACCUAAUAGUAUCAUUUGUCUUAGCUAUGUUAUGUAAUCUUAACAACUUUUGGCAACGGAUCUCUAGGCUCUC